GUCUACAGCCAUACCAAUUGAGCACACCAGAUCUCAUUUGAUCUUGGAAGCUAAGCAGUGUCCGGCCUGGUUAGUGCUUGGAUGGGAGAGGCCAAGGGAAAAAUGCUGUUAGCC
rnacentral:rRNA from 1 species